rnacentral:rRNA from 1 species
CCAGAGAACUUAGCAGAGAUGCUUUGGUGCCUUCGGGAACUCUGAGACAGGUGCUGCAUGGCUGUCGUCAGCUCGUGUUGUGAAAUGUUGGGUUAAGUCCCGCAACGAGCGCAACCCUUAUCCUUUGUUGCCAGCGGUUAGGCCGGGAACUCAAAGGAGACUGCCAGUGAUAAACUGGAGGAAGGUGGGGAUGACGUCAAGUCAUCAUGGCCCUUACGAGUAGGGCUACACACGUGCUACAAUGGCGCAUACAAAGAGAAGCGACCUCGCGAGAGCAAGCGGACCUCAUAAAGUGCGUCGUAGUCCGGAUUGGAGUCUGCAACUCGACUCCAUGAAGUCGGAAUCGCUAGUAAUCGUGGAUCAGAAUGCCACGGUGAAUACGUUCCCGGGCCUUGUACACACCGCCCGUCACACCAUGGGAGUGGGUUGCAAAAGAAGUAGGUGGCUUAACCUUCGGGAGGGCGCUUACCACUUUGUGAUUCGUGACUGGGGUGAAGUCGUAACAAGGUAGGCGUAGUGCU